GACGAACGCUGGCGGCGUGCCUAAUACAUGCAAGUCGAGCGCAGGAAAUCGGCGGAACCCUUCGGGGGGAAGUCGACGGAAUGAGCGGCGGACGGGUGAGUAACACGUAAAGAACCUGCCCUCAGGUCUGGGAUAACCACGAGAAAUCGGGGCUAAUACCGGAUGGGUCAUCGGACCGCAUGGUCCGAGGAUGAAAGGCGCUCCGGCGUCGCCUGGGGAUGGCUUUGCGGUGCAUUAGCUAGUUGGUGGGGUAAUGGCCCACCAAGGCGACGGGGCAUGGCCGACCUGGGAGGGUGAUCGGCCACACUGGGACUGAGACACGGCCCAGACUCCUACGGGAGGCAGCAGUAGGGAAUCUUCCACAAUGGACGAAAGUCUGAUGGAGCAACGCCGCGUGAACGAUGAAGGCCUUCGGGUCGUAAAGUUCUGUUGUAAGGGAAGAACAAGUGCCGCAGGCAAUGGCGGCACCUUGACGGUACCUUGCGAGAAAGCCACGGCUAACUACGUGCCAGCAGCCGCCGUAAAAC
rnacentral:rRNA from 1 species